rnacentral:lncRNA from 1 species
ACUGAUUUGUCAAUGAGUAUUUCUCCUUCAGUAUUUCUCAACCAUCGUGUUUUUGAAGGAUUAUCUAUUUAUUCAGAUAAUUGCCUCAAGUCAUCAACUCACAUUAACUGUGAGCAUCUUUGCCUUCUCUCUGCAACUAAGAGGAAAUUAAAAGCUGUUAAAAUGAAAAGGGAAUUAGAUGUUCAGUAAACUUGUAAUUUCGGGAUUUCCCAUUGUAGCUUAACAGGUUAAGAACCCAACUAGUAUCCAUGAGGAUGCAGGUCGAUCCCAGUCCUCACUCAUUGGGUUAAGGUCUGGGAUUGCCACAAUCUGAGGUGUAGGUCUCAGAUAUGGUUUACAUCCAGCAUGGCUGUGACUGUGGUGUAGGCUGGCAACUGCAGUUCCAAUUUGACCCCUAGCCUGGGAACUUCCCUAUGCCACAGGCGAGGCCCUAAAAAAACCCCAACAAAAAACAAAAAAACAUGUAGUUCCACUGGCAUACAUGUCUGAGAAGCCAACCCAAGCCAAAAGAACUGCCCAAGGCAGGCAACCCAAAUUAUCCAACAGUAAGAUUAGGAAAUAAGUAAAUGGUGGUUACUUUAAGCCCUUAUUUGUGAAGUGGUUUCUUACUCUGUAAAAGCUAACCGCUGCAAGACUUAAAUUUACCUUGUCGAUUUCAGACCCUAAAAAUUCAAAUACAUGUCUGAUCAGUUCAAAUGCCUGGAGGCAAAUGAAAUUCUUACAGUAUCUUAAUUUGUACAAAUAAGAAGCAAAUGAGAAAAAGUGUAACAACAAAAGAAUAAUGAUACAGUAUCUGGAUUUUUACCUUGCAUUUUUUCCCCUGCCACAUCUAUGGCAUGUGGAAAUUCCUGGGCCAGAGACUGAACCCCACAGUGGUGACCCCAAUGACUGCAGUAAAAAUGCUGGAUCCUUAACCUGCUGCACCUUAAGGGAACUCCCCAUUUUACUAAAGUUAGAAAUAAGGGUUAACUACAUAUAAAAUUAAAGGAGGAUGACAGUGAAUCUGGAUGGAAAUAUUACAAAGCCAAAUCCCAUUUUUACACUGCACCUAGUUUAGAAAAACAGAAUUAUGGUCACAAAACCCAGCAGUUAUUAAAAGAAGAUGGAGACAUUUUAAAGCAGUAACAAUCAAGAAAGAACAUUACAUAAGUUAAUUGAAAUUAUCAUCACGUAACUUUCUUAGGGAAGAACUUUGACGGAUUAAUAAAGAGCUACUUGUUUUUAGUAAGAAAAAUAUG